AGCCGCACACCCCUCAAUCAUCCAAUUCAGAGAUCAUCAGAUCAUUUUGCUUCGUGUUCUUCAUUUCUUUUUUAAACAUUUAGUGCUAUCACCUUCUAUAUUCAGGAGUGGAGCUGAGAGGGAGCAAACUGGAAGGCAGCUUGGGAAGGACACUGCGAAGCUCAGAGGAACAAAGGGAUCUUGGAGUGAUUGUCCACAAGGCAGCAGAACAGGGAAAGAUGUUUCACUGGAGGCGGUUCAAAGAAUGUUCACUGGAAUAAUCCCUGGUAUGGAAGGAUUGUUUUAUGAGCAAAGCCAAAACAAGUUGGGAUUCUGUCCAUUGGAGUUUAGAAGAAUGAGAUGAUCUAAUUGAAAGCUAUAGGAUUCCUAAGAGGCUGAACAGGGUAAAUGCCAAGAGGAUGUUUCCUCUCAUGGGAGAUUCUAGGGCCAAAGGGCAUAAUCUCAGAAUAAAAGGGUGCCAAUUUAGGACUGAGAUGAGGUGGAAUUUCUUCUGAGAGUUGACCAUCUUUGGAACUGUGAUUGGUAGAUAGACAGAUAGCUGGAUAGGCGGAUAGACACAGAUGGACAGACAAAUUCUUGAUCAGUUGGAGAAUCAAGGGUCACAGGGCAAUGGCAGGAAAGUGGACAAGAAGAAUAUCAGAUCAGCCAUGAUCCUAUUGAAUGAUAGAGAAGGUGUUGCAGGGAGAGAGGUGCAGUGUGGGUGAACAGCCUUCUCCUGUUCCUAUUUAUUACGGUCUUGUGGUAUAAAUGAAUCCCAGUCUGAAGGAAAUAAGUUUCCAGAGGCCUGUGGAAGCUGUAUGCAUUGACUAGUGACUUCAGAAUUCACGCAAGAAAUACAAUCACAUGUACCUGUCAUUCAACCCCUUGUCCAAGGAUUUCAUGACGGCCUGGUAUUAAUCAGUGAAAUGGUUUUUGAACUGGUAAAUAAGAAUUAUUUUAUUUUUCCUUUCUAAGUUAAUUCUUAACUGUGUGUCUGUCGUUGAGUGGGAGUUUAUGGUCAAAGAAGAUUGGGCUUAGAUCACAAAAUUAGAUUGCUUUGCAGUUUAGAGAUAGUAGGAACUGCAGAUGCUGGAGAAUCCGAGACAACAAGGUGUCGUAGGUGUUCUGCAAA